rnacentral:rRNA from 1 species
CACGUAGGGCGCAAGCGUUGUCCGGAAUUAUUGGGCGUAAAGAGCUCGUAGGCGGUCUGUUGCGUCCGCUGUGAAAACUCGGGGCUUAACCCCGAGCCUGCAGUGGAUACGGGCAGACUAGAGGUAGGUAGGGGAGACUGGAAUUCCCGGUGUAGAGGUGAAAUUCGUAGAUAUCGGGAGGAACACCGGUGGCGAAGGCGGCGACCUGGGACGAUACUGACGCUGAGGAGCGAAAGCGUGGGGAGCGAACAGG